AGCUGGACGUGUACCUGUUCCUCUUCUCUGAUGUGCUCCUUGUGACCAAGCCCCAGCGCAAGGCGGACAAAGCCAAGGUCAUCCGCCCCCCUCUCAUGCUGGAGAAGCUCGUGUGCCAACCCCUGCGAGACCCCAACAGCUUCCUGCUGAUCCACCUCACUGAAUUCCAGUGUGUCUCCAGCGCCCUCCUUGUGCACUGUCCCAGUCCUACAGACCGUGCCCAGUGGCUGGAGAAGACCCAGCAGGCCCAGGUAUGGGAAAGCCAGCAACGGGGAGGCAUGGGCAGGGGUCCCCGGAGCUCAGAAAUGGGAGCACAGUGGUGGCUCACACCUGUAAUCUCAGCACUUUG
rnacentral:sRNA from 1 species